rnacentral:rRNA from 1 species
UACAGAGGCCUCGAGCGUUAGGCGGAAUCGCUGGGCUUAAAGCGUGUGUAGGCGGACUUCUAAGUACCUUGUGAAAUCCCACGGCUCACCCGUGGAACUGCUCGGUAUACUGGUCGUCUUGAGCCUUCUAGGGGCGAGUGGAACAAAUGGUGGAGCGGUGAAAUGCGUAGAUAUCAUUUGGAACGCCAAUGGUGAAAACAACUCGCUGGGGAAGUGCUGACGCUGAGACACGAAAGCCAGGGGAGCGAACGGG